AAAACACUAGGGGGGAAUUUUUGGAUUGCACAAACUAUUCGUGAUGAAAAAUUCAGACAUCAUUAUAAUUCAGCUUUAAAAUAUGCAAAUUGGGGGAAUCACGAACCAAUAAUGUCCGGAAAAUGUCAAAAAUGUAUAGAAAUUGACGAAUGCGGGAAAUGGCAAACAACUUGCUGCACAGAUAAUAGAUAUUUUUUAUGCAAUUCUGGAGUCACAAAUGUGUCUUGCCAUGGAGGCUACUGCUAUCUUUAUCACAAAUCAAAAGUACUAUGCACUGCAGCAGAAACCAUUUGCUCAAAAAUAAAUGGAACUUUAGUAGAACCGAGCGACAGUGACGAAAAUCAAUUUC